AAUAUAUGUGCAAUAUUUACAUUAUAAUAUUAAUUUUUUUCUAAGAAUGUAUUACAGCAUUUAUAUUCUAUGAUGUCUGUUAAUAUUUUUCAGGCCCAGUCCAGUAACAGUAGCAAAGAUCUAGAAAAAUCUUUGAUAUCUGUUGAUGUUUUUCAGCACCAUAAUGAACACAACAGCAUGAACCAUCCAGAGACCAGAGAUGCAGUCGAUCCGUCCUCCACUGACACAGACCACCCUCGAGUUUCUGUCCAGUGUGAGGACGACCCAGAGGGUCAGCAUGGACUAAUCGUAUUUGACAACAUAUCAUAUGGUCUCCUCCGGCUGAACGGAGACACUGACGACGUAGGAAUUUCAGCUGACAUUGUUCAAGUAGACGUCUUGAUGUUAGAUGAUAGUCAUCAAAGCUGUAUUAUGUUGGCUUAUUUGGAUUUGUUUUGAUGACUGAAUUAAAUUAUUGAGACACAU